rnacentral:rRNA from 1 species
UGGGGAAUCUUGGACAAUGGGGGCAACCCUGAUCCAGCGAUGCCGCGUGGGUGAAGAAGGCCUUCGGGUUGUAAAGCCCUUUAGGCUGGGAAGAAGAAUAUGGGAUGAAUAAUCCUGUAUUUUGACGGUACCAGCAGAAUAAGCACCGGCAAACUCUGUGCCAGCAGCCGCGGUAAUACAGAGGGUGCAAGCGUUAAUCGGAUUUACUGGGCGUAAAGGGCGCGUAGGCGGUUAUAUGAGUGUGAUGUGAAAGCCCCGGGCGCAACCUGGGAAGUGCAUCGCAAACGAUAUAACUGGAGUAGGUGAGAGGGUGGCGGAAUUUCCGGUGUCGCGGUGAAAUGCGUAGAGAUCGGAAGGAACGUCAAUGGCGAAGGCAGCCACCUGGCACCAUACUGACGCUGAGGCGCGAAAGCGUGGGGAGCGAACAGG